rnacentral:lncRNA from 1 species
AUGUUUAUUUGGGGUCUUAGAUAAAUCAACGCCACGUAAUACGAAAUCAUACAGGACUGCACGUUGUUGCUACGUACUAUAGCAAACAAUUAACUAUCGGGGAAGUUUUAAUGACAUAGAUAUAUGCAUCUCUAGAAACUGAAAUAAAAUCACUACUAAGAUUUUUAAUUUAGUGUCUGGUUUGCUUCUAGGUAUUUUUAAGUAGAGCUUUGUUAGUGAGAGAUUAGUGGCCGGCUGGUGGCACAACUAAUGAGGUCUCAUGGCAUUAUUAUUAGCCCUGAUUUUUAUUGCAUUAAAUUAAGCGCAAAAACGAUUAGCCUAAUCUUAAAACAAAUUUAUUACUUCACUAAAUCAACGACAUUUAUUAUGGAUUGAAGUAUAGGUUUUCUUUGCAAGGGGUAUUAAGGAUCACUUUUGGCUUACCUGAAAUUAGGGCUUUCAGGAAAAUUGAUUAGCUCACUAAAAUAUAGUAUUUUUUUACAUAUAAGUUUAAACACUUUUAAGAACAUGACCUCUAAAUGGUAGGAUGAAAAAAAGAAAUGUUUUUUUUGCGGGAAAAAAAGAAAAAAGAAGAAAUCCUGUUUGGUAAUGAUGAGCAAAAGAUUAGUUAUUGCUAACUGAGAACUUGGCAUGCUAUAGUAUGCAGCAGGAGACUUAAAUACAUGCGGGUGUCAACGAUAUGCUAUUGUUAUUUAAGUAAAUAUGGUCUUAAAUCGUACUGUUUAUGUAAGGACAUUGAAUUGCAUCAUUAUUUCAAGAACCCAAACUAGAGGAUAGCCU